GGGCGCUUGGUUUAGGGGUAUAACAUAUCACCCGCAUAGUUACACUGACUUAGCAUGUUAUGAUAAGGUCGCCGGUUCGAUUCCGGCAGCGUCCA